rnacentral:misc_RNA from 1 species
GAUUUCUACAAUGGCAGAGAAGAAAUCGUGGACAAGGCCACCAAUUCAAAUGGAGUUCCAGGUUCCCAUGUUUACAGCAUCUGGUUUACGUGUUCGAUUUCUUAAGGUGAAUAUUCUCAACUUACAAGUUUGUACUGCAAUUUUGCUCCAAAAGUUCUGCAUUGACAAUGGGAUAUUUCCUUCAGGUAUGGGAAAAGAGUGGGUAC